CAGCCGCCGCGGUAAUACGAGGGGGGCAAGCGUUGUUCGGAAUUACUGGGCGUAAAGCGCACGUAGGCGGCUUUGUAAGUUAGAGGUGAAAGCCCGGAGCUCAACUCCGGAAUUGCCUUUAAGACUGCAGAGCUAGCAGGUGAGAGAGGUGAGUGGAAUUCCGAGUGUAGAGGUGAAAUUCGUAGAUAUUCGGAAGAACACCAGUGGCGAAGGCGGCUCACUGGCUCAUUCUAGACGCUGAGGUGCGAAAGCGUGGGGAGCAAACAGGAUUAGAUACCCCGGUAGUCCCUGUCUCUUAUAC
rnacentral:rRNA from 1 species